rnacentral:lncRNA from 1 species
UGCCCUCCAUUGUGGGGUCCUUUGUGACAAACAAUGUGUACACCUCCUUGUUGGAAUUGGAUUUUGACCAUUGUUAACAAACCCUUCAAAAUCAAACCUUUCCUUUUCAACCACUUCACAAUCUUUUGUUACCUCUUUUUCACCCUUAGGUACCAUGAGUUCACUAUCAGCUAACCAAUAAGCUUGUUUUAAGAGAGGUGGGUCAGAACAUAGUGACUCAUUUUGAGGGUUUAAGGUAUUGGAUAAGAUGCUUAAAGGGUCUUUUGGUCUUCUUGGAGCUGAAAGUCUCUUCCUUUUGCUUCUUGCUUUGCCUGGAACUGCAAAUGGUGACUCAUUUUGUUCUUGCUUUGGUUUCUUCACUGUGUUUGAAGGUUUUGAUGAGAC